rnacentral:lncRNA from 1 species
GCACCCAGCCACGUGUCCUGCCCCUGCCCUUGAGGCAUUGAAAUCUCUAAUCCAUGUCUGGAAACAGAUUGAUGGUUCCCGAAAGUCCAGUGGAAACACUCUGUCUUCCUGCUUUGAGGACAGCUGAAGUCUUGCCACUUCUUCUGGAUGCUCUGACCAUCAGUAAGCCACCUCAGUCUCACCCUCCGCAGAAUGCAGGCCCACUCCGUUGCUGAAGGGCCUCCUCCUUGGGCCAGGGCGCCUGCUUCUGCCAGUGGCAUCAUCACCCCACUCCUCAGCCGCCAGUCAUCAGAGACACGGUCUGACUUUGUUACCCCGGCUGGAGUGCAGUGGUGCAAUCAUGGCUCACUGCAGCCUUAACCUCCUGGGCUCAAGUGAUCCUCUCGCCAAGGCUAGGAUAAGUAGCUAGGACUACAGAUGCGCCCCAUCACGCCCAGCUAAUUUUACAACUUCUGUAGAGAUGGAGUGUUGCUGGGUUGCCCAGGCUGGUCUUGAAUUCCUGGGCUCAAGCGAUCCUCCUGUGUCCGGAAUUGGUGGGUUCUUGGUCUCACUGACUUCAAGAAUGAAGCCGCGGACCCUCGCGAGUCUGUAUCCACCAGCUACUCUUCCAGAUUCAUGAGGCAAGGCCUGCCUGCUCACCUGGCUGGCCCCAAGCACCUCUUCAACCUGUUGCCACCGUCCUGCCUUGCUGCCCUUCUCAGCUCAUCCAGCAGGGUCUCCAAGUCGUGGAAACAGAAGCACAUAUACACACAUGCUCAUAUGUACAUGCCCACAGUCACAUAAGCACACCGAGAAACACCAUCGCAGACAUGUUCUCACAAGCACAUGUGCAUAACACUCACUACCCCUCACGCGUAUACACAUUAAUACACACACUCAUGCACACUCAGUCUUACACACACAGACACACAGCCAUAAUCACUGUUGUUGGUUGAAUUGUGCCCCCCCAUCCCCACCAAAAAGAUAAGUUGGAGUCCUAACCCCCAGUACCUGGGGAUGUGACCGUAGUUGGAAAUAGGGUGUUUGUAGAUGUAAUCAAAUUAAGAUGAGAUCUUACUGGAUUAGAGUGGGCCUUAAAUCCAGUGACUGGUGUCCUUAUAAGGAGAAAAAGAUUUGAAAACAGAGACAUGGAGACACAGAGCAGAAGGCCAUGUGAUGAUGGAGUCAGAGAUUGGAGUGAUGCAGCUAUGAGCCGAGAAAUACCAAGGUGCUGGCAGCCCCCAGAAGCAAGGAGAGAGGCAAGGAACAAUCUCCAUCAGAGCCUCUGGAAGAAACAGACUCUGCCAACACCUUGAUUUCAGACUUUUGGCCUCCUUCACUGUGCGAGAAUACGUUUCUGUUGUUUUAAACUACUGAGUCACCAAGUCUGUGGUACUGUGUUAUGGCAGCCCCGGCAACAAAUCCAAUCACACACACACACACACACACACACACACACACACACACACACACACACACAGCUGGCUCCAGGCUCAGUGAUGAGCUCAGAGGAGUUCCCCUUGGGAGCUGCUCUUUCUCUGUCUUCCUUCCUUAGUGAUUGGUCCAGUGGAUCCACAAAAGCUCAUGGCCCAGAGCAGGAGCCCAGUCAUUUUUAAUUCCUCUUCCCUGGAGUUCUUAACCAUGCGUUGCCCUCAAAAUCUGCUCUCAAGAUUUGGGUUGCCAUAUUUAGGAGCACCAGAAAACAUACAGGAAUGCUGUGUCUGCUUGCAUCAUAUUAAUUAAAAACUGGAAAUAACCUAAAUGUCCCAGAAUAGGUACAUAAACUGUGGCAUAUCCACUUAAUGGAAUACUACUCAGCAAUACAAAAGGAAAACCUAGUGUUACUUGAGCAACAUGGAUGAACUUCACAGACAUAAUAUUGCACAGCACGAGGCAGACACAAAAGUGUGCAUAUGCUAUGAUUCCAUUUACAUGAGAUUCAAGAACAGGCAAAGCAGAUCUAUGGGGAUAGAAGUCAGAAUAGUGGUUACCUCUGGAAGGUGGAAUUGACUGGGAGGGGCUUCAGGGAACCUCCUGGGGUGCUGAAAACAUUCUGUGCUUGCACCGGGUGGUGGUUAUGUGGGCAUUACAUAAAAUUCACCAAGCUGCACCCUUAAUGAUUUGUACAAUUUGAUGCACAAAUCUAACAUCUCAAGAAGAAUAAAUUUUACAAAGUACCUAAGAAGCAAAUGACCAGAA